rnacentral:rRNA from 1 species
CCUUCCGUAGGUGAACCUGCGGAAGGAUCAU